UACGUAGGGGUGCGAGCGUUUAAUCGGAAUUACUGGGCGUAAAGCGUGCGCAGGCGGCGCGUUUAAGACAGGUGUGAAAGCCCCCGAGCUUAACUUGGGAAUUGCGCUUGUGACUGGCGUGCUGGAGUGUGGCAGAGGGAGGUGGAAUUCCACGGUGUAGCAGUGAAAUGCGUAGAGAUGUGGAGGAACACCGAUGGCGGAAGGGCAGCCUCCUGGGCCAGCACUGA
rnacentral:rRNA from 1 species